rnacentral:misc_RNA from 1 species
GAUGAAGAACGUAGCGAAAUGCGAUAAGUAAUGUGAAUUGCAGAAUUCAGUGAAUCAUCGAAUCUUUGAACGCACAUUGCGCCCCCUGGUAUUCCGGGGGGCAUGCCUGUUCGAGCGUCAUUUCACCACUCAAGCCUCGCUUGGUAUUGGGCAACGCGGUCCGCCGCGUGCCUCAAGUCGACCGGCUGGGUCUUCUGUCCCCUAAGCGUUGUGGAAACUAUUCGCUAAAGGGUGUUCGGGAGGCUACGCCGUAAAACAACCCCAUUUCUAAGGUUGACCUCGGAUCAGGUAGGGAUACCCGCUGAACUUAAGCAUAUCAAUAAGCGGAGGA